CAGCAGCCACGGGAAUACAGAGGUUGCGAGCGUUAAUCGGAUUUACUGGGCGUAAAGCGUGCGUAGGCGGCUUCUUAAGUCGGAUGUGAAAUCCCUGAGCUUAACUUAGGAAUUGCAUUCGAUACUGGGAAGCUAGAGUAUGGGAGAGGAUGGUAGAAUUCCAGGUGUAGCGGUGAAAUGCGUAGAGAUCUGGAGGAAUACCGAUGGCGAAGGCAGCCAUCUGGCCUAAUACUGACGCUGAGGUACGAAAGCAUGGGGAGCAAACAGGAUUAGAUACCCGGGUAGUCCCUGUCUCUUAUAC
rnacentral:rRNA from 1 species